rnacentral:rRNA from 1 species
GACGAACGCUGGCGGCGUGCUUAACACAUGCAAGUCGAACGGAAAGGCCCUGCUUUUGUGGGGUGCUCGAGUGGCGAACGGGUGAGUAACACGUGAGUAACCUGCCCUUGACUUUGGGAUAACUUCAGGAAACUGGGGCUCAUACCGGAUAGGAGCUCCUGCUGCAUGGUGUGGGUUGGAAAGUUUCGGCGGUUGGGGAUGGACUCGCAGCUUCUCAGCUUGUUGGUGGGGUAGUGGCUUACCAAGGCUUUGACGGGUAGCCGGCCUGAGAGGGUGACCGGCCACAUUGGGACUGAGAGACGGCCCAGACUCCUACGGGAGGCAGCAGUGGGGAAUAUUGCACAAUGGGCGGAAGCCUGAUGCAGCAACGCCGCGUGCGGGAUGACGGCCUUCGGGUUGUAAACCGCUUUCGCCUGUGACGAAGCGUGAGUGACGGUAAUGGGUAAAGAAGCACCGGCUAACUACGUG